CAGCCGCCGCGGUAAAACCAGCACCUCGAGUGGUCAGGAGGUUUAUUGGGCCUAAAGCAUCCGUAGCCGGUUGCAUAAGUUUUCGGUUAAAUCUAUGCGCUCAACGUAUAGGCCGCCGAAAAUACUGUGCAGCUAGGGAGUGGGAGAGGUACACGGUACUCAGUAGGAAGGGGUAAAAUCCUUUGAUCUAUUGAUGACCACCUGUGGCGAAGGCGGUGUACCAGAACACGUUCGACGGUGAGGGAUGAAAGCUGGGGGAGCAAACCGGAUUAGAUACCCGGGUAGUCCCAGCUGUAAACGAUGCAGACUCGGUGAUGCAUUGGCUUGUGGCCAAUGCAGUGCCGCAGGGAAGCCGUUAAGUCUGCCGCCUGGGAAGUACGUACGCAAGUAUGAAACUUAAAGGAAUUGGCGGGGGAGCACCACAAGGGGUGAAGCCUGCGGUUCAAUUGGAGUCAACGCCAGAAAUCUUACCUGGGGAGACAGCAGAAUGAAGGUCAAGCUGAAGACUUUACCAGACACGCUGAGAGGUGGUGCAUGGCCGUCGCCAGCUCGUGCCGUGAGAUGUCCUGUUAAGUCAGGUAACGAGCGAGACCCCUGCGUCUAGUUGCUACCAUUACUCUCUGGAGCAGUGGAGCGAAUUAGACGGACCGCCACAGUUAAUGUGGAGGAAGGAAGGGGCCACGGCAGGUCAGUAUGCCCCGAAACCCUAGGGCUACACGCGGGCUGCAAUGGUAUUGACAAUGUGUUCCGAAUCCGAAAGGAGGAGGCAAUCAUUAAACAAUAUCUCAGUUAUGACUGAGGGCUGUAACUCGCCCUCACGAAUAUGGAAUCCCUAGUAACCGCGUGUCACUACCA
rnacentral:rRNA from 1 species